ensembl:snoRNA
AUCGAGGCUAGAGUCACGCUUGGGUAUCAGCUAUUGCCUGAGUGUGCUAGAGUCCUCGGAGAGUAAACUGCUGACCUUAUUCACUGGCUGUGGGCCUUAUGGCACAGUCAGCCACCAGGUUAGAGACAUGC